rnacentral:rRNA from 1 species
GACAGAGGGUGCAAACGUUGUUCGGAAUUACUGGGCGUAAAGCGCACGUAGGCGGACAUUUAAGUCAGGGGUGAAAUCCCGGGGCUCAACCCCGGAACUGCCUUUGAUACUGGGUGUCUGGAGUCCGGAAGAGGUGAGUGGAAUUCCGAGUGUAGAGGUGAAAUUCGUAGAUAUUCGGAGGAACACCAGUGGCGAAGGCGGCUCACUGGUCCGGUACUGACGCUGAGGUGCGAAAGCGUGGGGAGCAAACAGG